ACGGCUCAGUAACACGUAGUCAACCUACCCUCGGGACGGGGAUAACCUCGGGAAACUGAGGACAAUCCCCGAUAAGUGAGGGACGCUGGAAUGCCCCCUCACUCAAAUCCUCCGGGGCCCGGGGAUGGGACUGCGGCCUAUCAGGCUGUUGGUGGUGUAACGGACCACCAAACCUACAACGGGUACGGGCGAUGGGAGUCGGAGCCCGGAGAUGGGGACUGAGACAAGGCCCCAGGCCCUACGGGGCGCAGCAGGCGCGAAAACUCCGCAAUGCGCGAAAGCGUGACGGGGGAACCCCAAGUGCCGUUGGUCUUUUGAUCGACGGCUUUUGUGGAGUGUAAGAAGCUCCACGAAUAAGGGCUGGGUAAGUCGGGUGCCAGCCGCCGCGGUAAUACCCGCAGCCCAAGUGGUGGUCGCGAUUAUUGGGCCUAAAGCGCUCGUAGCCGGGUUGGCAAGUCCCUUGUGAAAUCGGGCGGCCCAACCGUUCGGCUGGCAAGGGAUACUGCCAGCCUUGAGGCCGGGAGACGUCAGGGGUACUCCGGGGGUAGCGGUGAAAUGCUCUGAUCCUCGGGGGACCACCAGUGGCGAAGGCGCCUGACGAGAACGGACCUGACGGUGAGGGGCGAAGGCUAGGGGAGCGAACGGGAUUAGAUACCCCGGUAGUCCUAGCUGUAAAGGAUGCGGGCCAGGUGUCUGGUGUUCCUCGAGAGCACCAGGCGCCGGAGAGAAGUCGUUAAGCCCGCCGCCUGGGAAGUACGGUCGCAAGGCUGAAACUUAAAGAAAUUGGCGGGGGAGCACCACAAGGGGUGGGACCUGCGGUUCAAUCGGAUUCAACGCCGAAAAACUCACCAGGGGCGACAGCUGGAUGAAGGCCAGGCUGACGACCUUGCCGGACUAGCUGAGAGGUGGUGCAUGGCCAUCGUCAGCUCGUACCGUGAGGCGUCCUGUCAAGUCAGGCAACGAGCGAGAUCCUCGCCCUUAGUUGCCACAGUGGAAAGCUGGGCACUAUAAGGGGACCGCUGGCGCUAAGCCAGAGGAAGGAGAGGGCGACGGUAGGUCCGUAUGCCCCGAAUCCCCUGGGCCACACGCGGGUCACAAUGCGUAGGACAAUGGGUUGCGACCUCGUAAGAGGAAGCUAAUCCCCUAAACCUACGCUCGGUUCGGAUCGAGGGCUGCAACUCGC
rnacentral:rRNA from 1 species